CUGGCUCAGAACGAACGCUGGUAGCGUGGAUUAGGCAUGCAAGUCGAACGGGAUCCGGGAGGUAGCAAUACUUCCUGGUGAGAGUGGCGGAUUGGGGAGGAACACGUGAGCAACCUGCCUUGGAGUCGGGGAAAACCGUUGGAAACGACGGCUAAUACCGGAUGUGGCGCCCGGUGACAUCACCGGAGCGCUAAAGGGGGCCGCAAGGCUCUCGCUCCUAGAGGGGCUCGCGCACCAUCAGCUUGUUGGCGGGGUAACGGCCCACCAAGGCCUACGGUUAGCUGGUCUGAGAGGAUGACCAGCCCCACUGGGACUGAGAUACUGCCCAGGCUCCUACGGGAGGCUGCAGUCGAGGAUCAUUUGCAAUGGGCGAAAGCCUGACAAUGCGACGCUGCGUGGAAGGAUGAAGGCCUUCGGGUUGUAAACUCCUGUCAUGGGGGAACAGGCGAGGGGAGUUAAUACCUCCCUUAGUUGAGUGUACCCCAAGAGGAAUUGGCGGCUAACUCUGUGCCAGCAGCUGC
rnacentral:rRNA from 1 species